UACGGAGGAUCCGAGCGUUAUCCGGAUUUAUUGGGUUUAAAGGGUGCGCAGGCGGGAGAUUAAGUCGGCGGUGAAAUUUUGCAGCUCAACUGUAAAAGUGCCUUCGAAACUGGUUUCCUUGAGUGUGGAUGAAGUAGGCGGAAUUUGUGGUGUAGCGGUGAAAUGCAUAGAUAUGACGAGGAACUCCUAUUGCGAAGGCAGCUUGCUGGGUCGUUACUGACGCUGAUGCUCGAAGGUGCGGGGAUCAAACAGGAUUAGAUACCCU
rnacentral:rRNA from 1 species